CCUCUCAAAACCAACCAUUCCCACGUCUCUUUCAACAUGAACCAAACCCUAGCCUCCUAAAAGAACCUCACCGCCUCCGCCGCUAACCACCACCGGAAAUCGCCUCAUGGCGGUUCUGGUGGUCCAAACCUCCCCAAAUAUUUACCAGGAAAUCCCCUUUAUUUCCUCUUUCCAAAUCCCUAAAUAAUUCCUUCAAAUCCCCGCCAAUCUUUUCCGAUUUCAGAUCUAAAGUACCAACCCCAAAAACCCUAACUCACUCAAACCGCCCCAAGUCCACACCCUGUAGUCACCCGGCUUCCCCAAACCCAAAACACCCAACAAUUUCCCCUAGGAGUCUUUGAAGCUCGUCGAAUUUUGGAUCUAGGGUUCGACCCCUUCUGUUUCUUUGGGAAUUUUUCUCGAAGUUUUGCCUAAUUUGGCUGGAAGUUUGCCCAAUUAGGUUAUUCUUUACCAGAGUAACCAUUUGUGUCAACUUCAAGCCUUUUGAAUCAUCCGAAGCCAAGCACAAGUUCUUUCGUUUCUUCUUCGUCCUUUAGUAGGCAUUUCUUGGACCUUGAGUAAUAUGUGAAGUGCAAAUCUGAAACCAUGUAAUCAAGUGUGGAGACUUAAGAAUGAAUAUUAGCUUUGCUGAAAGAUUAUUCACGUGCUCUUUAAAGUUUUGCCCAAAUUAUGUACUAAGUUAGCUUUACAUUAUGUGUUCCUUUGCUCAUUUACAUUAAUAAUGCUAUAUUCCAUUUUCAA